rnacentral:rRNA from 1 species
AACCAGCACCUCAAGUGGUCAGGAUGAUUAUUGGGCCUAAAGCAUCCGUAGCCGGCUCUGUAAGUUUUCGGUUAAAUCUGUUCGCUCAACGUACAGGCUGCCGGGAAUACUGCAGAGCUAGGGAGUGGGAGAGGUAGACGGUACUCGGUAGGAAGGGGUAAAAUCCUUUGAUCUAUUGAUGACCACCUGUGGCGAAAGCGGCUCACUGGGUCUUUUCUGACGCUGAGGCACGAAAGCUAGGGUAGCGAACGGG